GUACAAACAAGAUUUUUAGAACUUGAUUCAGUUGCUUAUGCUUUGGCAUCAAGUACCAUUUGAGACACCCUGGGGUAUCCUGCGUGGUCUCCGCGUCUCCAGCUGCUGCUUCCAUAGGUCCUAUGUGAUAUCUGCCAACCCCAUGUGUAUCUUGGGUGCCUUAGGGCAUCUCAGAUGGCACCAGUUGCCUGCAUUCAGGCAUCUAAAUGGAGCCCUUUGUUUUCUGGGGCUUGGAUAGCCGAUGUCUGACUAUUUUUCUGUGAGCUUGCAUAAAAUGCUAGCACUGAGAUUGGUGCAUGCCUCAAUUUUCAAAAUAAAUUGCUCAAAUCCCCAGUAAGUACAUAAGGUGGGAUACAUGACAUGGUGCGUGUGUGAAAGAAAGGAUUGUCUCCAGGGUGAUGGGCUGAUGCUGAACUGGGCAGUUAGUUCCUUGAGGCAAAUAAUUUAGAGCAAAACCCCAGCCUUAUAUAUGUCCUCUGGCAGGAGUCGGUUGCUGUAACUCACGAGGUUUCCGAUGAAUAUCUGAAGAAAACACGGGCAGGACCUGGUUCAAGUUCAGCAAAGCCAUGAGCAACAGCGGUGAGUUAAUGGGAGAUGAGGGAGCUGCGGUCCCCUCGCUUCCCGCCGGAGCAGGUGUGUGGGAUUCAUCUCAGGAUUAAGCCACCUAAAUUUAAGUGUUGAGACAUAGGUGUGUAUGGCCGAGCAGAGCAGUUGAGCUAGCCAGUAAGUGCCUUUAGGGUUUUCUGAUUAAUUCUGUAGACCGAGCUGACUCUGCUGACUGCCUCGGUUAAGUUGUCUAUGCGUGGUGCCAUAUGAGAUGCUGUAUGGUAUCCUGCCUGCCCUUCAGCUGCUAGUCUAGAAGGGUUCGGAUCUCCCAUCGGUCCUCAGUCAUACCUGCCAGCUCAGGUGUAUCUUUCAUGCCCUAGAUGCUUGUGUGGGCAACGGGAUCUAAUUCUCCAGUGGCCGUGGCUGUCAUGGGAUCACAGCCCAAAUGUGGGCGUUAGAUGCUGAACUUCAGAUGAAAUUGCCCAUUCCAUGCUUUUGACAGAAGGGAAAGAGAACAGAGAAGCAGCACACGAAGUGUGAGGUAAAUGCUGGGGCCACGCACUAACUGGUGCAAGAAGCUGGGAGAAGAUGGUCUGUUCCUCAGUCCAACUGCUACAAGCAGCAAUGGCUUAACCCGUACUUAACACAUAUCAUCAGAAAAUAAUACUGAGCUGAGGACUCUCAUGACACGUUUAUGAUUUUCAGCUCCAGGUGGAAGUUGUUGAAGAAAUAUCAAUGAAAAGAGCUUGUUAGCAUCAAUAGAGGUUUUAUGAAGGUGGCACUGUUUUGGGCACCGAGGAUUAAAUCAAAACAUCUGGCUGGGCUGGUGUUCUGAGGAGCUGCUGCAAGUGUGGGUAUUUUUCAGGGCGAAAAGAAAUGAUAGAGAACAUGGCAAAGUAUUGCAUGUAUGUGUCACUGUGAUUACCGUGGUAGCUUUGUCACCCUGGGCUGAAC